rfam:Canis lupus familiaris chromosome 5, whole genome shotgun sequence.
GCCUGGCUUGUUCAGUGGGUAGAGCAUGUGACUCUUGAUCUCAGGGUCAUGAGCUCAAGCCCCAUGUUGGGUG